rnacentral:rRNA from 1 species
ACGGAAGGCAGCAGUGGGGGAUAUUGCACAAUGGGGGAAACCCUGAUGCAGCGACGCCGCGUGAGUGAAGAAGUAUUUCGGUAUGUAAAACUCUAUCAGCAGGGAAGAAGAUAACGGUACCUGACUAAGAAGCACCGGCUAAAUACGUGCCGGCAGCCGCGGUAAUACGUAUGGUGCAAGCGUUAUCCGGAUUUACUGGGUGUAAAGGGAGCGCAGGCGGUCCUGCAAGCCAGAGGUGAAAACCCGGGGCUCAACCCCGUGAUUGCCUUUGGAACUGUAGGACUUGAGUGCUGGAGGGGCAGGCGGAAUUCCUGGUGUAGCGGUGAAAUGCGUAGAUAUCAGGAGGAACACCGGUGGCGAAGGCGGCCUGCUGGACAGAAACUGACGCUGAGGCUCGAAAGCGUGGGGAGCAAACAGGAUUAGAUACCCUGGUA